GAUGAACGCUGGCGGCGUGCUUAACACAUGCAAGUCGAACGAAGCGGUUUAGCGGAAGUUUUCGGAUGGAAGUUAAACUGACUGAGUGGCGGACGGGUGAGUAACGCGUGGGUAACCUGCCUCACACAGGGGGACAACAGCUAGAAAUGGCUGCUAAUACCGCAUAAGCGCACAGCUUCGCAUGAAGCAGUGUGAAAAACUCCGGUGGUGUGAGAUGGACCCGCGUCUGAUUAGCUGGUUGGUGAGGUAACGGCUCACCAAGGCGACGAUCAGUAGCCGACCUGAGAGGGUGACCGGCCACAUUGGGACUGAGACACGGCCCAAACUCCUACGGGAGGCAGCAGUGGGGAAUAUUGCACAAUGGGGGAAACCCUGAUGCAGCGACGCCGCGUGAGUGAAGAAGUAUUUCGGUAUGUAAAGCUCUAUCAGCAGGGAAGAGAAUGACGGUACCUGACUAAGAAGCCCCGGCUAACUACGUGCCAGCAGCCGCGGUAAUACGUAGGGGGCAAGCGUUAUCCGGAUUUACUGGGUGUAAAGGGAGCGUAGACGGCUUAGCAAGUCUGAAGUGAAAGCCCGGGGCUCAACCCCGGGACUGCUUUGGAAACUGUUAAGCUGGAGUGCUGGAGAGGUAAGCGGAAUUCCUAGUGUAGCGGUGAAAUGCGUAGAUAUUAGGAGGAACACCAGUGGCGAAGGCGGCUUACUGGACAGUAACUGACGUUGAGGCUCGAAAGCGUGGGGAGCAAACAGGAUUAGAUACCCUGGUAGUCCACGCCGUAAACGAUGA
rnacentral:rRNA from 1 species